UGUGUGUGUAUGUAUGUGUGUGUGUGUGUGUGUGUGUGUGUGUAUACACACACACACACACACACACACACACACACA